UACGAAGGGGGCUAGCGUUGCUCGGAAUCACUGGGCGUAAAGCGCGCGUAGGCGGCUUUUUAAGUCAGGGGUGAAAUCCUGGAGCUCAACUCCAGAACUGCCUUUGAUACUGGGAAGCUUGAGUCCGGGAGAGGUGAGUGGAACUCCGAGUGUAGAGGUGAAAUUCGUAGAUAUUCGGAAGAACACCAGUGGCGAAGGCGGCUCACUGGCCCGGUACUGACGCUGAGGUGCGAAAGCGUGGGGAGCGAACAGG
rnacentral:rRNA from 1 species